CUGAUUGUGAGAUGUAGGAGGCGAAGGGCGGAUCUAAUGCAGGUAAAAACAAAGAUGGCAGACAAUGCAAGUUCACUCACAGCCUGUGGGGAAGAGGACACGUGUUUGACCGAGGAACACGGGAAUGGACUCAGGAAAUCGUGAACUGCGUCAUGUGUGUUCGAACUCCAUCUGUUCAGAAAUUGAUGAGAAGCAGAAGACGAGGGCACUGACGAACAUCGGAUCAGUUUUAGGGACUAUAUCGCUCCAGCUUUCCUAUAAAUAACAACACUCCUACAUUUGAAGCAAACUAAUG
rnacentral:lncRNA from 1 species